CCUACGGGAGGCUGCAGUGGGGAAUAUUGCGCAAUGGUCGAAAGCCUGACGCAGCGACGCCGCGUGAGGGAUGAAGGUCUUGGGAUCGUAAACCUCUGUCAGCAGGGAAGAAAGGUCACUGUGCUAAUCAGCAGUGAAUUGACGGUACCUGCAAAGGAAGCACCGGCUAACUCCGUGCGAGCAGCCGCGGUACUACGGAGGGGGCGAGCGUUAAGCGGAAUUACUGGGCGUAAAGCGUUCGUAGGCGGUAUGUCAAGUCAAGAGUGAAAUCCCCGCGCUCAGCGUGGGAACUGCCGUUGAAACUGGCAAACUGGAGUUUGUGAGAGGAUAGUGGAAUUCCAGGUGUAGGAGUGAAAUCCGUAGAUAUCUGGAGGAACAUCAGUUGCGAAGGCGACUAUCUGGCACAUCACUGACGCUGAGGAGCGAAAGCGUGGGUAGCAAACAGGAUUAGAUACCCUUGUAGUC
rnacentral:rRNA from 1 species